rnacentral:rRNA from 1 species
UACAGAGGAGCCAAGCGUUGUCCGGAUUGACUGGGCGUAAAGAGCUCGUAGGCGGCUUGUCGCGUCGACUGUGAAAACCCGUGGCUCAACCAUGUGGUCUGCAGUCGAUACGGGCAGGCUAGAAUUCGGUAGGGGAGACUGGAAUUCCUGGUGUAGCGGUGAAAUGCGCAGAUAUCAGGAGGAACACCGGUGGCGAAGGCGGGUCUCUGGGCCGAUAUUGACGCUGAGGAGCGAAAGCGUGGGGAGCGAACAGG